GCGGGUGUAGCACAAUGGUAGUGCACCAGCUUCCCAAGCUGAGGACGAGGGUUCGAUUCCCUUCACCCGCUCCA
rnacentral:tRNA from 1 species